rnacentral:rRNA from 1 species
UACAGAGGGUGCGAGCGUUAAUCGGAAUUACUGGGCGUAAAGCGUGCGUAGACGGCUAUCUAAGUCGGGUGUGAAAGCCCCGGGCUCAACCUGGGAAUUGCAUUCGAGACUGAAUAGCUAGGGUACGGUAGAGGGAAGUGGAAUUUCCGGUGUAGCGGUGAAAUGCGUAGAUAUCGGGAGGAACACCUGUGGUGUAGACGGCUUUCUGGACCGUAACUGACGCUGAAACACGAAAGCGUGGGUAGCAAACAGG